GACGAACGCUGGCGGCGUGCUUAACACAUGCAAGUCGAACGGAAAGGCCCUGCUUUUGUGGGGUGCUCGAGUGGCGAACGGGUGAGUAACACGUGAGUAACCUGCCCUUGACUUUGGGAUGACUUCAGGAAACUGGGGCUAACACCGGAUAGGAGCUCCUGCUGCAUGGUGGGGGUUGGAAAGUUUCGGCGGUUGGGGAUGGACUCGCGGCUUAUCAGCUUGUUGGUGGGGUAGUGGCUUACCAAGGCUUUGACGGGUAGCCGGCCUGAGAGAGUGACCGGCCACAUUGGGACUGAGAUACGGCCCAGACUCCUACGGGAGGCAGCAGUGGGGGAUAUUGCACAAUGGGCGGAAGCCUGAUGCAGCAACGCCGCGUGCGGGAUGACGGCCUUCGGGUUGUAAACCGCUUUCGCCUGUGACGAAGCGUGAGUGACGGUAAUGGGUAGAGAAGCACCGGCUAACUACGUGCCAGCAGCCGCGGUGAUACGUAGGGUGCGAGCGUUGUCCGGAUUUAUUGGGCGUAAAGGGCUCGUAGGUGGUUGAUCGCGUCGGAAGUGUAAUCUUGGGGCUUAACCCUGAGCGUGCUUUCGAUACGGGUUGACUUGAGGAAGGUAGGGGAGAAUGGAAUUCCUGGUGGAGCGGUGGAAUGCGCAGAUAUCAGGAGGAACACCAGUGGCGAAGGCGGUUCUCUGGGCCUUUCCUGACGCUGAGGAGCGAAAGCGUGGGGAGCGAACAGGCUUAGAUACCCCGGUAGUCCACGCUGUAAACGGUGGGUACUAGGUGUGGGGUCCAUUCCACGGGUUCCGUGCCGUAGCUAACGCUUUAAGUACCCCGCCUGGGGAGUACGGCCGCAAGGCUAAAACUCAAAGGAAUUGACGGGGCCCCGCACAAGCGGCGGAGCAUGCGGAUUAAUUCGAUGCAACGCGUAGAACCUUACCUGGGUUUGACAUGGAUCGGGAGUGCUCAGAGAUGGGUGUGCCUCUUUUGGGGUCGGUUCACAGGUGGUGCAUGCCUGUCGUCAGCUCGUGUCGUGAGAUGUUGGGUUAAGUCCCGCAACGAGCGCAACCCUUGUUCACUGUUGCCAGCACGUUAUGGUGGGGACUCAGUGGAGACCGCCGGGGUCAACUCGGAGGAAGGUGGGGAUGACGUCAAGUCAUCAUGCCCCUUAUGUCCAGGGCUUCACGCAUGCUACAAUGGCUGGUACAGAGAGUGGCGAGCCUGUGAGGGUGAGCGAAUCUCGGAAAGCCGGUCUCAGUUCGGAUUGGGGUCUGCAACUCGACCUCAUGAAGUCGGAGUCGCUAGUAAUCGCAGAUCAGCAACGCUGCGGUGAAUACGUUCCCGGG
rnacentral:rRNA from 1 species